GCUCCGCUGGCGCAAUGGUAGCGCGCCAGACUUCUAUUGCUUGAAAUCUGGAGGGUAUGUCAUUAAUUCCCUUCCUCAAACGCGCUGGAGGAUGCUAACAUAUGGACCGUUAGCUGUGUGUUCGAGUCCCACGCGGAGUG
rfam:Fonsecaea multimorphosa CBS 102226 unplaced genomic scaffold supercont1.7, whole genome shotgun sequence.